AGUUUUGCUGGUUUGCAUUCC
rnacentral:miRNA from 1 species